CACAAAGGCUUGGUCCUGACUUUGCCAUCGGCUUCAGACUAGAUUUACACAUGCAAGUAUCAGCGCCCCUGUGAGAAUGCCCCACACCCUCCUGGAUGGAGGCAAGGAGCAGGUAUCAGGCACAAUAUCUUUAGCCCACGACGCCUUGUUUAGCCACACCCUCAAGGGAACUCAGCAGUGGUCAAUAUUAAGCUAUGAGUGAAAACUUGACUUAGUUAAUAGUUACAGGGCCGGUAAAUCUCGUGCCAGCCACCGCGGUUAUACGAGAGACCCAGGUCGAUGGUCCGCGGCGUAAAGAGUGGUUAAGACCCAUCCAAUAACUAAAGAUGAACGACUUCAAAGCUGUUGUACGCACACGAUAGUACGAAACUCACCUACGAAAGUGACUUUAAACUUCUGACUCCACGAAAGCUAGGAAACAAACUGGGAUUAGAUACCCCACUAUGCCUAGCCCUAAACAUAGAUAUCAAUUCACUUAUUUUAUCCGCCCGGGAACUACGAGCAAUAGCUUAAAACCCAAAGGACUUGGCGGUGCUUUAGAACCACCUAGAGGAGCCUGUUCUAGAACCGAUACUCCCCGUUUAACCUUACCUUUCCUUGCCUUAUCCGCCUAUAUACCACCGUCGUCAGCCUACUCUUUGAGGACCUCACAGUAUGCAAAAUUGGUUGUACCCCAAAACGCCAGGUCGAGGUGUAGCGAAUGGAAAGGGAUAGCAAUGGGCUACAUUCAAUAACCUAUAAUGAAAACGAACGCCAUUCUGAAAAAGAUGGCCGAAGGAGGAUUUAGCAGUAAGCAGAGAACAGAGCGCUCUCCUGAAGCUGGCACUGAAGCGCGUACACACCGCCCGUCACUCUCCCCAAGCUAGGCUACAUAUAUCACUAAUAAAUGAACAAUCGCGGAGGGGAGGCAAGUCGUAACAUGGUAAGUGUACCGGAAGGUGCGCUUG
rnacentral:ncRNA from 1 species